UACGUAGGUGGCAAGCGUUGUCCGGAUUUAUUGGGUUUAAAGGGUGCGUAGGCGGCCCUGUAAGUCAGUGGUGAAAUGCUCUAGCUUAACUAGAGAGGUGCCAAUGAUACUGCAGGGCUUGAGUACAGAUGAGGUAGGCGGAAUUGACGGUGUAGCGGUGAAAUGCAUAGAUAUCGUCAAGAACACCGAUAGCGAAGGCAGCUUACGUGGGCUGUGAACUGACGCUGAUGCACGAAAGUGUGGGGAUCAAACAGG
rnacentral:rRNA from 1 species